rnacentral:rRNA from 1 species
UUUAAAGUCUGACCUGCUCGAUGAGGAUUUGAAUGGCCGCGGUAUAUUGACCGUGCAAAGGUAGCAUAAUAAUUUGUUUUUUAAUUGGAAGCUGGAAUGAAUGGUUGGACGAGAAAUUUACUGUCUCUUUUUAAUUUUAUUAGAAUUUUAUUUUUAAGUAAAAAAGCUUAAAUUUUUUUGAAAGACGAGAAGACCCUAUAGAGUUUUAUAUUUUAUUUUAUUGAUUUUUUUGGUAUUAUUAAUUAUUUAUUAUUUAAUUUAUUUUGUUGGGGUGAUGGAAAAAUUUAAUUAACUUUUUUUUUUAUUUUCAUUUAUUUAUGAUUUUUUGAUCCGUUUCUCGAUUAUAAGAUUAAAUUACCUUAGGGAUAACAGCGUAAUUUUUCUUUAAAGUUCUUAUUGAAAGGAAAGUUUGCGACCUCGAUGUUGGAUUAAAAUUAAUUUUUGGUGUAGAAGCUAGGAUAUUAGGUCUGUUCGACCUUUGAAAUUUUACA